UUUGAUUUAGCUUUCCCCUCUUCCCAUCUUCCACCACUCCGCCGAAUCCCAUAUGAAUUGAACAUAAGAAAAAAAAAAACCUCAUUCGUCUCUUCCUCCAAUCUGUCGAAUCCCAUUCGAACAAGGAAAAAAAAAAAACAUUGACGCAUCAUGUUUUUUUUAGAGAGAGAACGAGAGAAAGAACAGUAGAGAGAAAAAUGGGGUUGAGGCCGGCGGGCCGACGCGUUGCCGGUUCGUUUGCUGCCGUUCGUUGUCGGAGGGCCGUCGCCGGCCGAUCUUCAUGAAUAUGGGGUUUGUGCCGCCAGGGGAGGGGGUUUUGGCUGGGACCGGAGAUCGUGAGAGUUGCUGCAAUGGAGGACCUCAUCAUGGUCGACUUAUGUCCAGAGCUCAAGGGGGAAGAGCUGCCGUCAUGCGAGGCGGAUGUGGGAUGCUCAGAACUCCCCCGGGAACGAAAUGGGUUGGCAAGGGGCGGGAUUGUUUCCUUGGGCGUCAGAGUCUUUGCAAAGAUUUUGGGAGAAAAAACCUGCAGAUGUGGUAUGAUUUUCGAAGAGCAACCAGGAUUGCAAGUGGUCAAAGAAUGUUGUUCCCUCGCUUCAAUAAUUAACAAUGCCGAUAAAUUGGUUUCACUUUAUUACCUCCCAGACUAUUAAGCACCGGCUGAGUCAGUUACUCUGCGAUUCUCGAAGAAUGAAUGCUCAUGUUUUUAAGCUUCUGCUUCAAGGGUCCCCAACAGAGGUUUGCGUGAAGGAUUGUUCUUGGCUAACAGAGGAAGAGUUCACAAAAUGUUUGCAGAACUUUGAUCCGAGCAACUUAAUGGUGUUAUUUUUCAGCCCCUGCACUUAGAUCUCCCAACCUCACCAAGUGCUCCCUUCUCACCUCCUCGAGUAUUGACACCUUAGCUAACUCAUUGGGUUUGAUCCUGAGAGCUGUAUCUUGAUCUACACU